rnacentral:rRNA from 1 species
CCUACGGGAGGCAGCAGUGGGGAAUAUUGCACAAUGGGCGCAAGCCUGAUGCAGCAACGCCGCGUGAGGGACGAAGGCCUUCGGGUUGUAAACCUCUUUUAGUAGGGAAGAAGCGACUGGGUUUUCCUGGGAGUGACGGUACCUGCAGAAAAAGCACCGGCUAACUACGUGCCAGCAGCCGCGGUAAUACGUAGGGUGCAAGCGUUGUCCGGAAUUAUUGGGCGUAAAGAGCUCGUAGGCGGUUUGUCGCGUCUGCUGUGAAAACCCGAGGCUCAACCUCGGGCCUGCAGUGGGUACGGGCAGACUAGAGUGCGGUAGGGGAGAUUGGAAUUCCUGGUGUAGCGGUGGAAUGCGCAGAUAUCAGGAGGAACACCAAUGGCGAAGGCAGAUCUCUGGGCCGUAACUGACGCUGAGGAGCGAAAGCAUGGGGAGCGAACAGGAUUAGAUACCCUGGUAGUCCAUGCCGUAAACGUUGGGAACUAGAUGUGGGGACCAUUCCACGGUCUCCGUGUCGCAGCUAACGCAUUAAGUUCCCCGCCUGGGGAGUACGGCCGCAAGGCUAAAACUCAAAGGAAUUGACGGGGGCCCGCACAAGCGGCGGAGCAUGCGGAUUAAUUCGAUGCAACGCGAAGAACCUUACCAAGGCUUGACAUAUACCGGAAACGGCUGGAAACAGUCGCCCCGCAAGGUCGGUAUACAGGUGGUGCAUGGUUGUCGUCAGCUCGUGUCGUGAGAUGUUGGGUUAAGUCCCGCAACGAGCGCAACCCUCGUCCUAUGUUGCCAGCACGUAAUGGUGGGAACUCAUGGGAUACUGCCGGGGUCAACUCGGAGGAGGGUGGGGAUGACGUCAAAUCAUCAUGCCCCUUAUGUCUUGGGCUUCACGCAUGCUACAAUGGCCGGUACAAAGGGCUGCGAUACCGCAAGGUGGAGCGAAUCCCAAAAAGCCGGUCUCAGUUCGGAUUGAGGUCUGCAACUUGACCUCAUGAAGUCGGAGUCGCUAGUAAUCGCAGAUCAGCAACGCUGCGGCGAAUACGUUCCCGG